rnacentral:misc_RNA from 1 species
UUAAGUUCAGCGGGUAUCCCUACCUGAUCCGAGGUCAAGAGCAAAUGUAAAGGCUUACUGGAUACCAACAUUCAUGUUAGAAGCGCAAAAUGUGCUGCGCUCCGAGACAAUAUGCCGGCUGCCAAUGGCUUUAAGGCGAGUCCACGCGCGAAGCGGGACAAACACCCAACACUAAGCAGAGCUUAAGGGUACAAAUGACG